rnacentral:lncRNA from 1 species
GAAAAAUAGAAGCAAGAUAGCCUUACUAUUGGAUCUCUUUCCUUUAUGGAGUUGAAGACAGGUCUGAAAGAAGGGAUCUUGGUCAUGUCGAUUUGUAUGGUAACUAGAUCAUGGAAUGUGGCAUGGAAGACAUUAGUCAGGUCCUGGCAGGAAAGUGUAAUGUCUCCACAGCAGUAAAUGCAAAGACUUAAAUAAAAGGCAGGGUUCAGGAAAAUCACCAAGAGCUGGCAAAGCAUCCUAGAGUUAACAACAGCAGACAGCCAUUACUAGUCUUGGUAAAAAAAAAAAAAAAAAAAAAAAAAAAAACAUGGAAAGGGAGAAUCUACUGAAACCUUGUAAAAGUUUAGCUGAAGGAAAGAACCAUGUUUCCUAGUUGCACAGCCUCAGACAGAAGAUUGCAGCCACUGUUGAAGCAGCCUGUAGGGAGGGAGUAUAAACACCCAACCCUUCUCUCUUCCCUGCUUCAGUUGCCUGCUUCAGCUGCCUACCUUUGGAUUACCAAAUAAGCCCCGCAGAGCAGGAAUCCUAGGGUACAGCGGGUAAGAAGGGUGGAGAAUGGAUCUGGAAAGGCAAAAGGAGAAUAUCCAUUCAGCGGGGGAGGUCUUCAGAUUCAGACAAGUAGCCUCCCUGUGCACAGCACUCCUGUGGUCAUCUGCAGGGUUAACUGGGAUGCCUCACUUGCUAGGAUGCUAUUGCUUGUAGAUAGAACUCUGAAUCAGAUGUCAUGGAAGGGAAACCUGUGCAGAAGUGUUUUGCGUCAUGCACACAGCAUUUUCUUGAAAAAGAAAACUAACAAAAUCAAAACCCAAACUAAACAUCUAUAUUGACUUUGGGGAGAUUCACAUCAAAUUUCAUGCUUCUUUUGAGAAAAGGAAGAUUUCGCAGCACUGAGCAUGCAUUCCUCCUACCUGGAAACAAUGUGCUAAACUUCACAGGAGCUGCCCCUUUAGACACUGC